GAAGAAGAUAAGGAUAGUUUACAGGAACUCUCUACAGAACAGAAAUGCUUUGUUGAACACAUCCUUUGUACGAAGCCAUUGCCCUGCAGGCAGCCAGCUCCAAUUCGAGGAUUUUGGAUUGUACCUGACAUUCUGGGACCCACAAUGAUCUGCAUCACCAGUACCUAUGAAUGCCUCAUAAGGCCGUUAUUAAGUACAGUCCAUCCAGCGUCUCCUCCCCUGCUUUGUACUCGAGAAGAUGUUGAAGUGGCAGAGUCUCCCCUCCGUGUUCUGGCUGAAACCCCAGAUUCCUUUGAAAAGCAUAUUAGAAGCAUUUUGCAACGUAGUGUUGCCAAUCCAGCAUUUCUGAAAGCUUCUGAAAAGGACAUAGCCCCUGCUCCAGAAGAAUGCCUUCAGCUCCUCAGCAGAGCCACCCAGGUGUUCAGAGAGCAGUACAUUCUCAAACAGGACUUGGCAAAGGAGGAGAUUCAGCGGAGGGUCAAAUUAUUAUGUGACCAAAAAAAGAAACAACUAGAAGAUCUCAGUUAUCGUCGAGAAGAGAGGUAAGUGUCAAAAAUAAGAAUACAAUAGGUCAGUAAGACUGGAACCAUAUUCUCACCCUAAGAUGCUGAGCCACAUUAGUUGGUUUCAGCAUCAAGGUGUGGACCCCAAGAGUCUCUUGUUUCUUACAUCAUUAGGAAAAGUCUGCGGGAAAUGGCUGAGCGUUUAGCUGACAAAUAUGAGGAAGCUAAGGAAAAACAAGAGGAUAUCAUGAACAGGAUGAAAAAAGUACUUCACAGUUUUCA
rnacentral:sRNA from 1 species